rnacentral:lncRNA from 1 species
CAAUAAUGACUUACACUGUUUUUCAGGGGAACGCUCACUGCUGUGAAUGAGGUGGGAGUAGCCAUCUUUUAAAUACAAGAAGACUACUUUCUUGAUUGAUAAGUUGGGCGACUGCACGGUGAGAAAUCACCCUCUCAGGCUCCAAGAUGGUUCGCAUGGCAGGUAACCCAGAUCAGCACUGCUGUGACAUCAAGAACCACAUCGUUCUAGGGCUAGCAGUGGACCUGGGGAGAGAGCCUGGCUCCAGGAUCUGAUUAUUUACGUUAAAAUGUACUUGAUCAGAAUUGUCUGUAAAAUAUAUCUAUCCUUUUUGUAUUCACAUAGAGGUUAUCUGAACCCUCACUAGAUCUUUAACCCUGAAUACCACCAUCCCCUGCAUUCUAUGGAAGCAAAAAUAUCAGAAUGUGAUUCACAAACGAAAAAUCAGAAACCUCUAUAAAAAGCAGUUUCUAUCACGCUCCUUACCUGAGACUCAGUAGUAAAUCAACCAAGUUGAUAUUUCUUACCUAUUAAUGAAUAUCACAGUAUGUAUCUGAAUGUUCACAGACAUAUAAAUUUCAAUGAAAAAACUAAAAUCUUCUACCAAAAGCCAUAAAUUGUGUUCAUAAAAAUUUGAGUACUUAGGCAGACUUAACUAAGGGAAAAAUAAUAGAUAGAAGCAAUUUUCAUAAGUUUCCUCCCUCCCUUCCAUUGUGCCCUAAGGAUAACUGUCAAAUAAACAGUCUAAGCCAUAUCCA